GCGAACGCUGGCGGCGUGCUUAACACAUGCAAGUCGAGCGGUAAGGCCCUUUUGGGGGUACACGAGCGGCGAACGGGUGAGUAACACGUGGGUGACCUGCCCUCAGCUCUGGGAUAAGCCUGGGAAACUGGGUCUAAUACUGGAUAUGACCUUUCCUCGCAUGGGGUUGGUGGAAAGUUUUUCGGCUGGGGAUGGCCCGCGGCCUAUCAGCUUGUUGGUGGGUGAUGGCCUACCAAAGCGACGACGGUAGCCGGCCUGAGAGGGCGACCGGCCACACUGGGACUGAGACACGGCCCAGACUCCUACGGGAGGCAGCAGUGGGGAAUAUUGCGCAAUGGGCGGAAGCCUGACGCAGCGACGCCGCGUGGGGAUGAC
rnacentral:rRNA from 1 species